CAUAAUGAUGCGGUAAUUUGCGGUUGAUCCGUUCACUGUGAAGCUCCCGCCAGAGCUUCAAAUAGCAGUUUUCGGCUGUGAUAUUCAAUUUCUUACAUAUUCUGAAC
rnacentral:snoRNA from 15 species